UACGUAGGGGGCAAGCGUUGUCCGGAUUUAUUGGGCGUAAAGAGCGUGUAGGCGGCUUGGCAAGUCCGCUGUGAAAACUCGAGGCUCAACCUCGAGCCGUCGGUGGAAACUGCUUGGCUAGAGUCCGGAAGAGGAGAGUGGAAUUCCUGGUGUAGCGGUGAAAUGCGCAGAUAUCAGGAAGAACACCUAUGGCGAAGGCAGCUCUCUGGGACGGUACUGACGCUGAGACGCGAAAGCGUGGGGAGCGAACAGGAUUAGAUACCCCAGUAGUCC
rnacentral:rRNA from 1 species